AGUGAACGCUGGCGGUAGGCCUAACACAUGCAAGUCGAACGGCAGCACAGUAAGAGCUUGCUCUUACGGGUGGCGAGUGGCGGACGGGUGAGGAAUACAUCGGAAUCUACUUUUUCGUGGGGGAUAACGUAGGGAAACUUACGCUAAUACCGCAUACGACCUACGGGUGAAAGCAGGGGAUCUUCGGACCUUGCGCGAUUGAAUGAGCCGAUGUCGGAUUAGCUAGUCGGCGGGGUAAAGGCCCACCAAGGCGACGAUCCGUAGCUGGUCUGAGAGGAUGAUCAGCCACACUGGAACUGAGACACGGUCCAGACUCCUACGGGAGGCAGCAGUGGGGAAUAUUGGACAAUGGGCGCAAGCCUGAUCCAGCCAUACCGCGUGGGUGGAGAAGGCCUUCGGGUUGUAAAGCCCUUUUGUUGGGAAAGAAAAGCAGCAGGUUAAUACCCCGCUGUUCUGACGGUACCCAAAGAAUAAGCACCGGCUAACUUCGUG
rnacentral:rRNA from 1 species